ACAAUAAAGAUACUCUAUUCUAGUCUACUCCAAGAAAGGAAACCCGGGGAGAUAUUAUAUUCCACUUUGCCCUUUUAAGGAUAUGCUAAAUUAUUGAAAUAUAAUUUUUAUGUGUCAAAAGAGGGAUUAUCUAUAGAUUAUUCAUAGAUUAGUGUUUAAAAAAAGAAUGAAACUAAUGAAUGUCUCAGUCUCAUUGCAGCAGGAGUCUGAUCAAACAACAUCAGGGGUGGCUCAAUAAGAAAACCUGGUCCAGUUCAAGGUGAGAAGAAUCAUAUCAAGCUCACCUGAACAGACUGACAGCUCUAAGACUCAAGAAAAAGGCUCCUGGUUCCACAUGACGCUCAGUAAGAAGGCCCAACAGGUGAAGUGUAAGUUCCUGGACCCAUGACCUCUGAGAGGGCUAAGAGGAGAAACAACAGAGCUGUGUCCAAAUUCAGGGGCCGCAUCCUUUGAUGGACCCGUCCUACGCAGAUCGGGUCCCUCGCGGCCCCCGAAGACCGCAAAGGCCGGAAGUGAGCGGCUGUGAAAUUGGACAGUCUGGGGUGUGUGUACCUGAGAUCAUACCUGAGACAUUAUGCGCCUUUCACAGGAAACAAACCAGGAUGACUGCCAUAUAGCACUCACCUCUGUGGUGAUGAAAUGUUUUGAGAGACUCAUCAAGACAUUCAUCACCUCCUCACUGCCCACCACCCUCGA